GAUGAACGCUGGCGGCGUGCCUAAUACAUGCAAGUCGAGCGAACAGACGAGGAGCUUGCUCCUCUGACGUUAGCGGCGGACGGGUGAGUAACACGUGGAUAACCUACCUAUAAGACUGGGAUAACUUCGGGAAACCGGAGCUAAUACCGGAUAAUAUAUUGAACCGCAUGGUUCAAUAGUGAAAGACGGCUUUGCUGUCUCUUAUAGAUGGAUCCGCGCCGCAUUAGCUAGUUGGUAAGGUAACGGCUUACCAAGGCAACGAUGCGUAGCCGACCUGAGAGGGUGAUCGGCCACACUGGAACUGAGACACGGUCCAGACUCCUACGGGAGGCAGCAGUAGGGAAUCUUCCGCAAUGGGCGAAAGCCUGACGGAGCAACGCCGCGUGAGUGAUGAAGGUCUUCGGAUCGUAAAACUCUGUUAUUAGGGAAGAACAAAUGUGUAAGUAACUAUGCACGUCUUGACGGUACCUAAUCAGAAAGCCACGGCUAACUACGUG
rnacentral:rRNA from 1 species